rnacentral:lncRNA from 1 species
CGCAGCGCCCUUCAUCAAGGACCCGUCCGCAUCAUGGCCAUUUCCUUCCCCGGUUCAAAAUCCCAGCCAUUGCAUCUCAUCCCGAGCAAUCAUCCGAGUCCCAGGUCCCACUUCCAUCCUUUCGGAUUUCCUUCUCUGCCUCUGCUUCCACCCGCGAUGAUUGCCCAAGAUUUCGUGAUCCCAGCCAUCCACGAAGCUUCCAAUUCGGCCAUCCUCUUCCAUUUCUAGCCAUCAAGGAGCCUGUGAAGCUAGCCAUCAUCUUCUUCAACCUUCCGCGCAUCCCUCACGUGAUCAACCCCCCUCCGCUUCUUUCCCCAUUUCAAAAAUCCUCCCAGCAAGGCGUGAUCUCAGACACCAUUUCCAGCUUCUUCCGGAACCGACCCAGCCUCCUCAGCGAUCCAGCCG